GAUGAACGCUAGCGGCAGGCUUAAUACAUGCAAGUCGUGGGGCAGCAUGAGUAGCAAUACUUGAUGGCGACCGGCAAACGGGUGAGGAACACGUACACAACCUUCCUUCAAGCGGGGAAUAGCCCAGAGAAAUUUGGAUUAAAUACCCCAUAAUAUAUUUGAUAAGGCAUCUUAUUAAUAUUAAAGCUUCGGCACUUGAUGAUGGGUGUGCGGCUGAUUAGAUAGUUGGCGGGUAACGGCCCACCAAGUCUACGAUCAGUAGCUGAUGUGAGAGCAUGAUCAGCCACACGGGCACUGAGACA
rnacentral:rRNA from 1 species